AUUGAACGCUGGCGGCAGGCCUAACACAUGCAAGUCGAGCGAGCGGCGGACGGGUGAGUAAUGUCUGGGAAACUGCCUGAUGGAGGGGGAUAACUACUGGAAACGGUAGCUAAUACCGCAUACUAUCAGAUGUGCCCAGAUGGGAUUAGCUCGUGGGUGGGGUAACGGCUCACCUAGGCGACGAUCCCUAGCUGGUCUGAGAGGAUGACCAGCCACAGUAGAACUGAGACACGGGCCAGACGCCUACGGGAUGCAGCAGUGGGGAAUAUUGCACAAUGGGCGCAAGCCUGAUACAGCCAUGCCGGUUGUGUGAAGAAGGCCUUCGGGUUGUAAAGCACUUUCAGCGGGGAGGCGUUACCCGCAGAAGAAGCACCGGCUAACUCCGUGCCAGCCGCCGCGGUAAUUC
rnacentral:rRNA from 1 species